AUGGACCUCACACACCAAGAAACGGGGCAGAGGAAAACCAAUCCCCAGGUACUACCUACAGACAUCUCCCCAAGCCCCUUGACCUCAAAUAGACAAACUCCUGCCCUCUUCUCAUGGCUGUCCGUGAUCCAGUCCUGCCCAUCUCUCCAGUGCAUCUCUUUCCAGUCCAGACAUGCCAGAUGUUCCCUGGGUCCUCGCUGUAUCGAGUCUUUUCUCCAAGGUCUUGCAUUUGCAGUCUUCCCAUGCACAGUGCUCUUACCCACCCACCCGAGCUUACAUAGUUCCUAUUCAUCCUAUGGUCCUCACUAUCAUGCUGUAGUUGGGGGGAAGCUGUUAGUGAUAACUUUUCUCUACUCCCAAUCCAAAUUGUCUCUCCUAUGUUCUCAGUAGCUCCUUGUAGCUCCCCCCAUUGUGACAGCACCACUUAGAAUGUAGCUGCCAAUUGCUUGUUUGUCUGUAGCUGUGUGCCAACAUUAGUCCUAUGGGUGCAGAGUCUGUGGAGUACCUGGUACAUUCUAGGGGUGUAAUAACCAUGUAUUAAUGAAAGAAUGGUGAAGCAGUUAGCACAACACUUAUCACAUAGCAGAAAUCCCUUCACUAUUUCUUUAUUGGAAUGCAGAAUUGAGAGUUCGGAGGCCUGUAGUGGCUUCCAGGUCUGUCACUAACGCUGGAAUUCCUGGUGACAAGAAAGUCUUUCCCUUCCUUCUGCCACUUUUUGUGUUUGUGAAGAGAAAGCAUUAGGUCCUGCAAGCUUUCCUUUCUGCCUCUUUUGUGCCAGGAAGCACUGACCUCACCCCUGCAGCAGGCUCAGGGAUGCCCAGAGCCUGUGCUGCACCCCCGCAUCGGCAGAUCAGCCUCUCGCUGUGAGUCCACUGUCUCCCAGGUGGGAGACUUGCUGCUGACUUGCAGGAACAUCCUGCAGAAAGGCAAACUGCACUCUUCAGUAACAGGGAUGCUGUGUAAAAUAGGGCUUGGGGUGUUGCCUGGGGAUAUAUGCCUGAAGCCAAGUUCCAGAUAAAUAAGGCCUCAGUUCUCUCUUCCCAAGGAAAGGCUUAAUGUCUUACAAGCAUAGCCACUGGUUCCAAGGACAGCAUUUCCUAACUCCUGUGGGAUUUCCAUUUCGUCUGCACUUGGCCCCAUAGUGACCAAAACAAGUUUAGAAAAAGCCACUUGCUUUCAGGCCUGGGACUCUAAACAGCCUGAAUGGUGUUGUGGAUGGAAGAUCCUCACCGUGGGGGAAACAAGGCCCAAGUUCUACAAGUCCCUCUGCCAAUAACUAACCCCUAAUGCAACCCUGGGGAUGACCUGCCCUUCUCUUAGCCUCAGUUUCCAAACCAAUGAAAUGAAAGCCAUUGUCAGUGGUCUUCUGGCUCUGCCAUCCUCAGAUCCUCCAAUGAAUUUGAAUGUGGUCCCUGGCCACUGAGAGGAAUCAUAACCGUAUGAAUACUUCCAUCUUUACCUUACCUUACAUUAAAGAACAACUUUACAUUGUUCUUUAACCACUGCCUGAACUGAACCUCCAACAAACCUGUGAGAUCAAUUAGGGGCACAGAAAAUAAGCUAUUGAAUUUAUGUCUCUCAAAGGGAUAUGAAACAUUUGGCUCACAAGCUUUUAAGACAGGGUCAUAGGACAUAAAACUAUAUUUAAUAAGGACAAUGUACUAAAAAUAUCCUUUGCUGAGACGGAUUGAUGAAAUUAAAAGCGCACCAGUUUAGAGAUCAGGAAGGCAGAUGCCGGUCCCUGCUCAAUACCAGCCUCAGUCACGUGGCCCUGGGCAGGCACCUUCUCAACCUACCAUUGGUUUACCAUCUGUGCAGUAUCAUCUCUAAGUUAUGCUUGGCACUGCUGUUCUUAAAAUUCAGCAUAAAUCUUCCUAAAGCUGUGUGGAUGUUUCCUUAGUAAGUUUGGGUGAUGCUUUGUUUGUUUUGUUUUCUAUUGUUUGAUUACCCUGAUACUUCCAGUGCAGUCCACACUAAAGGCAGACAGUACACCGGGAAACCACAUCCCCAUCAGUCAGGUCAGAUGCGUACAUCUCAGUAAGGAGAGCAGGUGCUCACUUUUAGUAAAGGGUCAGGCCACUGCUGAGGGGGCCUUGCAGAGGGGACAGAGCCCCUAUUGCUCUACCUGAAAUCAGACAGCAGGCCUAACAUCCCUCUCACCUCUCCUGGAUGACUGCCAAUUCCAUCUUCCAAGCCAGAGAUGGACCCCACAGAGAGUCUGAGGUCUAGAUGACAUCUCCUCAAAUAUUUAUGGAACAAGUCAUCAUCUAUUGUCGCAUUUCCUAAAGCCCAUGAGUGGAAAAUAAGAUCCACAGGUGUGUGUCUUUCUGAGGCUGAGCAUGCCAGAUUCUGAGGCUUCCAAGCGUUAGGUGAGGCUCCUAACAAGUGAGGAUAGACAAUGACUCGUGCACCCUGAACUCAGCAAGUGAAAAACCAUUGUCAAAGGAGUUUUCAAAAGAGGGACACCUGACUGGAGAAAAAGUUGAAAGAAGGAGAGAUGUAGAAGAGUAAAUAAGGAAUAACUAGAAGGAAAAAAAACAGGUACCAUGGACCACUUAGAUACCUAAAAUGCGUCUCUGAAGAGAAUAAAGGAUUCAGUGUCCAAGUAAGUUUGGGCAAAACUACUUUACCUCCUCUCUUGAGAUUUAUAGUCUGUAACAGCUAUUAAAAUCCUCAUAAAUUUUUGUGGUUAAAAACAACACAAAAUGAUUUAAGGUUAACCUUGUUUUAGGCGAAGUUUUGAUCACAGAAUCCAGUUUUCUUGCAAUGCUUAUUAACAUUCCUGGAAUAUAGUAAGAGAAAUUGGACUGAAAGACUCCAGUGUGUUAGACUGGAGAAGUGCAAAGGGUCCCUGUUUCCAAGGAGUUUACAAAAGAGUGGGACAAGACACUUGGAUGCUGAAUUCAAUGAGACAAAAAAUAGCUGGUGAUAAUGGGAGGAUCACUCAUUUCCAGGUAAGUGGUACAGACAGAAAGGGUUGGGCAUUGGUUGGCUUAUCCAAGAGUUCAUGAGGCACCUAUAGUAUACAGACACCAUGUGGGGCCAAGAUAUGCCAGUAGGCCAGGCAGAUCAACCUCAUCUCUGAAAAAAAUAAAGGAGGGUAAUGUGGGACAGGAACCUGGUGUGGACACAGAGUUAAAAGUUGACCUAAGAAGGCUUCUUGGAGCAUUUCAUAGUGCUCAUAGGUGAGCAUUCACAUCUCAUAGUGAAAUGAGAUAUGAAUGACAAAAAGGAGAGGUCUAUAUGAAAAGUUGUCUGGGAAACAUAUCCCUGAGAGAAGAGCUCUGAGCUGGGCAAGGAGCCCGUGUUUGGGGAACCCACAGAUUCCUAAGUGAAAGGGCAAGUAUGACAAAUGACAGGGAAGAAAUUUAGAAUUUAGCAACAUAUAGCUAAAAUAGAGCCCUCAAGAAUGGGAGUGCGACGAGUUUGGAAAAGUAGCUGUGCACAUGUUGUAGAGGAACUGGAAUGUCAGAAUAAGAAGUUGAGAAAAAUUGUCAACUUAUUGUUCAAUAUCAUGCACAAGACACUGUUCCCAAGUGCAGCCCAUCCUUGCUGGGAUUAUGAGCCACCGAAAUGAUGGAAGAGGGCAAGGACCUCACACAAUCUGGACUGUCAGUAAUACUUCAAUAAAGCUGAUACAACAGAAAUUUUCUCCUCUCCCUGUACGUAUUCUUACUUCUUCUUCAGUAAUAGGCCCACCAAAUUUUAGGUUGAAAUGGGACUGUGUUUCCCAGGAUUCCCUGUAGGUGGGCUCUGCCGUGGGACUAAGAUCUUACUGGUGAGGUGUAAGCAAAAGUAGUACAGAUAACAAUACUUAAUGUGUUAACUGUCAUUUUUCUCCUAUGAUUUUGUUAUGAAGUUUUGUUUUACUUUUUUCCCAUGAAAUAAAAUGUGGUAGUCAAAUUCUGGUAUCCAGGGAAAUAUCCUUUCUUCGCCUCCUCCUUACGACUGUCUAGACUGUGGGUGUAAUGCUCAGAGUUCCAUCCUGGAUGGUGGGGACAUGCACUACUUCUAGGUAUGGUAGGAAGAGAGCUGGAGGAAGCCUGGAUCCCACUAUGGAGACUCCACAGAGUCCAUAAACUGCUUUCAUGGAGAGUUUUAGCCAUUUUCCCUUUGUGUCUUUGUUAAUCACAGCCAAAACUGGAUGCUGACUACUACUGCCACUUGUGACAAGUUGUGACAAUGAACAAGAUCAGUUAUUAAAUGUGAGUGAAAAUAUAUAUUUUGUAAAAAUAGCCUUGAGCCCAUUCUAUAUAUAUAUUUAUUUUUCAAGGCAAAUCUUCAAAUAUCAGUAUUUUAAAGUAUUUUUAAGUCACAUUUUUAAGUAUUUUAAAGUAUUUUAAACCACAGUGUUAUAGUUUGUGUUUGGAUGUCCCCUCCAAAGCCUCGUGCAGUUAGGGGCUUUUUCGGAGGUGGUUGGAUCUAGAGUGUGUGACUCUGUAAUUGAUUCAUGGUGCAAUGCUAGGAUAAAGGGCACUAGGAUUAAGGGUGUGAGUGCUACCCACCAUAAGUAGCCUGGUUAAGAUAUAAGGGAUAGAAAGAGCUGUGAUCAUCUCUUGCUGCUUUGCUACUUUCUGCCCACCAUGAACUGUUUUUUCUCUGUGAUGCCUGUCUGCCAUGUGCCACCCUGCCUUGGACCCACCUGAUUAUGGACUGAAACCUCUACAAACUGUGAGCUAAAUAAACCUUUCCUCCUUUAACUUGUAAGUGUUGGGUACUUUGUCACAGCAACAAGAAAAGUAACUAAGACUUGUAUUUCACAACAGGACUUAACAUCACUUGGGGCAUGGUCCUAAGGUAAAAAAUUCCACAUGAAAGUCAGGUGGAUGUGCAGCUGUUCUCCAG
ensembl:lincRNA